rnacentral:rRNA from 1 species
UACAGAGGUCUCAAGCGUUGUUCGGAUUCAUUGGGCGUAAAGGGUGCGUAGGCGGCGCGGUAAGUCGGGUGUGAAAUCUUGGAGCUUAACUCCGAAACUGCAUUCGAUACUGCCGUGCUUGAGGACUGGAGAGGAGACUGGAAUUUACGGUGUAGCGGUGAAAUGCGUAGAUAUCGUAAGGAAGACCAGUGGCGAAGGCGGGCCUCUGGACAGUUCCUGACACUGAGGCACGAAGGCCAGGGGAGCAAACGGG